rnacentral:misc_RNA from 1 species
AAAAUAAAAUAAAAUUAUUUACAUAUUUCUCUUUAUAUAUAUAAAAUAAGAUUUCUCUCCUAAUCUCGUUCUCUGUUGUUGGAUGUCUCCUCCCAUUCUCAAUCGUUUUGUAAUUUCUCUUCUUUCUCUCUCCCUCUUCCUUCUCUUUUUCUCUCCUCCUCUUGAUUCUACUCUUAUCAUUUCCUAAUGAUUCUUCCUUCUGUUACCAUAUUUCAAUAAUUUGAUUGGCUAUCAAAAUGCACCUAAAUUGCAAGCUUAUCGCAAACUAGUUAGGGUUUGUUGUGUGGAUAUUUUCUCUGUUAGACUUACAUAAAUAUACCUAAUUUGUGGUCAAAUGCACAUAAAUUAACAAUUAAAAUUUGAAAUCAAUAAACUCUAACCUCUAAAAUUCAAAAUCAACAAAUAAAAAUUCAA